rnacentral:rRNA from 1 species
UACGUAGGGUGCAAGCGUUGUCCGGAAUUAUUGGGCGUAAAGAGCUCGUAGGCGGUUCGUCGCGUCGGCUGUGAAAUCCCGAGGCUCAACCUCGGGUCUGCAGUCGAUACGGGCGGACUGGAGUUCGGCAGGGGAGACUGGAAUUCCUGGUGUAGCGGUGAAAUGCGCAGAUAUCGGGAGGAACAUCAGUGGCGAAGGCGGCUGCCUGGCCCAAUACUGACACUCAGGGUCGCGACAGCGUGGGGAGCAAACAGG